rnacentral:rRNA from 1 species
UACGAAGGGGGCUAGCGUUGCUCGGAAUCACUGGGCGUAAAGGGUGCGUAGGCGGGUUUUUAAGUCAGAGGUGAAAUCCUGGAGCUCAACUCCAGAACUGCCUUUGAUACUGAAGAUCUUGAGUUCGGGAGAGGUGAGUGGAACUGCGAGUGUAGAGGUGAAAUUCGUAGAUAUUCGCAAGAACACCAGUGGCGAAGGCGGCUCACUGGCCCGAGUACUGACGCUGAGGCACGAAAGCGUGGG